ACACUACAUCUCUUUUCUAUCCCUUCAUCUUCAAUUUAUCGCGUUGAAGAACAAGUCAAUGGAUUUCACUAGUUUUAAGAGACGUGACCUUCAAUCUUUGUGCAAGAAGAACAAUAUUCCUGCUAAUCUCACCAAUGCUGCCAUGGCCGAUCCUCUCGCUUCUCUUUCUACUGUAUGAAUCGCUAAAUGUGUUUCUACUUUUUUUCAUUUAUUUAUUAGUAGUAGUAUAAUUUGAUUCAAUCGUCAGGAGUUUGUUUGAUGAAUCUGUUGAUAUGAGCAAUGCUGCAAUGGCUGAUGCUCUUAAGUCUCUGAAGAUCAUGAUUUACAUGCUUGGGCUGAUGAGAUAACACUAGCAAUUGGUUUUCAAUCUACACGUGCUUCAUAUAAACAAAAGGAAGGACGUUUUAGAAUGAGUUUGUACUUAAGAUGUCACUAGCUACGGUAAUAUAAGGGGUGAUUUGCAUAAAUUAGACAAUGCUGCCCGGCCUGGUUUCAAAAGUAGGGCUUGUGGUUGUAAAUUUAUGAUUAUAGGAAAUAGUCGUAAACCACGGGAGAGACCUUGGACGGUUAGAGUGUUUCAUGGUGAAAAAGGAAGACAUAACCACCCGUUCUUCAUGUAAAGACUUGGAUAGUGAGGGGCAAUUGAGUAGAUUAUUUAUUGCGAAUCCAACAUCUAUCCAGAUGAUACGUUCGUGGCCCCAUCUUGGGUUGAUAAACACAACGUACAAAAUGAAUAAGCAAAAGUGGCCCCUAUGCGAAAUCAUUGGAAUGACGCUAACGAAUCAUAACUUCUUGGUUGCGUUUUGUUUGAUGCGAGAUGAGGCGUAUGUGUCUUAUUCUUGGGGUGUUGGAGAGGUUGAGAGAUAUUUAUGGCAGAGUCCAGACGCCCGACGUAAUCAUAACGGAUCGAGAUAAGGGUUUGUCAUACGCUAUUUAAAAGGGCACACGCACAAAUAACGAAUCAGCAGUUAAGGAUAAGGCAAGCUCUGGAGGAAUCUAGGAAUUUCAUUUCAAGGAUGUCGUGACUUAAUUUUCUCAGACCGUUGUAUCGUCAUGUUUCCAUAUUUGCUUUGCAACAAUUGAUGAUGGAGCACAACCGGAUGUUAAACUUAGGUAGUUGUCUUUUUGCAAAAUGCGGUUGUGUCAUUCAAAAAAUCCACGGAUUACCAUGCGCGUGUUACUGUUGCUUGUCAAUCAGGUCUAAUGGUGCUUUGUACUUAGACGAUACACAUCCGUUUUGGAAAACGUUAAAGUACUUAGAGCCAGAAGAAGACGCCAACGAAGAAGUACGACACGCAAACGUCGAUGAUAAGGACUACUUUCAAUCGUUGGUGGAUGAAGUUUUAAAAGCCGACCCUUUAGUUGUACGGCGCGUGUCACAAGUACUUGAACAAGAACUACACCCUGAAGGAGCAGAUAUAUCUGAGCCACAAGCAAGUCCAUCGAGGAAGGGAAGACCAAUGACAAGCAGAACCUUGAGGAGAAACAAAAGUGCGUUUGAGUACAGCAGCUCUUCCUCAAGGGGUCGCGGAUCCAGAUCUUCAUCACGCGGGUGAUCUACUGGUAGAUCUAGCAGUCGGUCGCACCAAUCGUCAUCUGGAAUAAACAUUAGUUUCAACUUAUCAGAUGGUUCAGCAGGACGUGAUUUUUCACUUUUUCUGUGGCCAGAUAACAUUUCGUUUAUUCUUCCGCCAUAUCUGUUUGACUGGAUUGAUGUCAUCGAUGACGGUAAUUGUGGUAUUAGAGCCAUUGCCGCCACAGAGUUAGGGGGCGAGGAAGCAUGGCCUUUUUUAGGACGCGCAAUGAGUUUGGAAAUGGAAACGCAUAGAGAGCAAUAUGCACGCGUGUAUCCAUCAGAUGAUUUGGUUGAGGAAGCUAUAUACAUAAUUGGUGCCCACAACAAAGGACCUGCUCCGUACAGUCACUGAUGGAAAUGACAGCAUUAUAUUCCGCCGCAACCUUUUCUGAACAUAGCAAUUGCGUAUUAUGGCUCUGCUAAUGGUCAUUCAAUGUGUAACUGUUUAGUGCUUCCGUUAAGGAGAACAGGGGGAAUGCGUGGCGUAAACAGACUUAUACAUAUUCUUUGGGUUAAUAGGAAUCAUUAUGUUCUGCUUUUAAUGAACGAUGAUUCAUCUCCACUGCCGCCAGUCCAACAAAAUUGGAGAGCAGCAGCUAACAAUUCAUGUAAAGACUUAGAGAUACAGUAUCACAACAGGAUACUCCUUAGUGUUCAGCUCUGGAAUAGAAUCUGCGGCGUACAACGACAACAAAAUAACACCGCCGAAGACGCGGUCAAUCUAGAUACUCCUUAGUGUUUAUUGUACUGAUUAUACUUGUUGUUAUCAUUUUAUUAAGGGAUAUUAUCAAUGGUACCUCUGUAUCAUAGCAAAAUAUCAAUGGUACCCACAUUAAUUCCAAUAGUACCCCCCAACUAUAUGAUAAUUACAACCGUGACACUAUUUUACUUUUUUCCGUGAAAUGGCCGUUAAAUCACGAAUUUGACCUAACCAUGGUUAGUUUCUUCUUCUUCCCUUUUCUCACUCCUCUUCCUGCUCUCCUUCCAUGGCUGCUUCAUCUCAAGCCUGACAAUGAUCAACCCGAAUAUGUAGAAAGUACCAGUUGUUUCCUCCACUCCUUCCUAAGUCUCCCUUCUUAAUGCCUCCUCUUAAUAUAUACUCUUCUCUUCUUCCAUACUCCAAUCUUUUACCACUUUCUUCUUUCUCUAUCUUCCUCUAUUUUUUCCUUAAUUAAUCAAGCUUUGAGCUUUCUCAUUAAUGGUUGACUAUGAAACCCUAACCCACUGAAACCCACUAGUAAAACUUUAAAUUUAGCUUAAUGAAACUUUACCCACAUAAACUUGACCUCUCUCUAAAGUCAAUUUUUGGGUCUCUCCUUUAUUUGUCAAAGUUUUCUUCUUGUUCUUUAUUAUCAAGUUUGAAUCUUUCCUUCAAAUUAUUGAACUCUUCUAAGGAUUUGAAAGGGGCUCAUUUUGGGCUUUGUCUCAAAACUUUGAAUGUUUCUUUAAAUCAUUUUUCUGGGCUUUCUCUAAAGGUUGUGAGAAGUUAACCCACUUAGCUUUAAAGAGAAUAAGUUACAAAGAAUUUCUAACAUGUAAAAUAUGGAUUUAAAAAUUGAAACAGUAAUUUCUUGAAACAGACUCCUUUUUUAU